UACGUAGGUGGCAAGCGUUGUCCGGAUUUACUGGGCGUAAAGAGCGCGCAGGCGGUCGUUCAAGUCGCGUGUGAAAGCCCCCCGGCUCAGCUGGGGAGGGUCACGCGAUACUGAUCGACUCGAAGGCAGGAGAGGGUAGUGGAAUUCCCGGUGUAGUGGUGAAAUGCGUAGAUAUCGGGAGGAACACCAGUGGCGAAGGCGACUACCUGGCCUGUUCUUGACGCUGAGGCGCGAAAGCUAGGGGAGCAAACGGG
rnacentral:rRNA from 1 species